rnacentral:rRNA from 1 species
GAUCGGGUACCUUUUGCAUAAUGGCCCUACGAGUUACGUUUCGUGGCGAGGUUAAGCCGUAAGGUGGAGCCGGAGGGAAACCAAGUCCGAAUAGGGCGAAAGUCGCGGGGCGUAGACCCGAAGCCCGACGAUCUAUCCAUGGCCAGGUUGAAACGCGGGUAAUACCGCGCGGAGGACCGAACCCACCUUAGUUGAAAAUAAGGGGGAUGAGCUGUGGAUCGGAGUGAAAGGCUAAUCAAGUCGGGGAAUAGCUGGUUCUCCUCGAAAUAUAUUGAGGUAUAGCCUCGGAUGAAUACCCGCGGGGGUAGAGCACUGAAUGGGCUAGGGGACCUACCAGUCUACCAAACCCAAUCAAACUCCGAAUACCGCGGAGUAGUGUCCGGGAGUCAGGCAGCGGGAGAUAAGUUCCGUUGCCGAGAGGGAAAGAGCCCAGACCGUCAGCUAAGGUCCCAAAGUCUGUGCUUAGUGUCAAAGGAUGGUGGAGGCGCAUUGACAGCCAGGAGGUUGGCUUAGAAGCAGCCAUCCUUUAAAAGAAGCGUAAUAGCUCACUGGUCAAGCGAAU